rnacentral:lncRNA from 1 species
GCAAGAGCACCAUUUACAGCUCCACAUGAGAUUGCAGCUUCUGCCAUAGGUGCAAAUGCAAUUACCAUGCACAUCACCAAAACAACACAUGCUACUUUCAUGUUUGCCAUUCUUAAAACAAAAUGUGUUUUUGUUUUUGGAAUAUUUUUUUUUAUGCUUUGUUUGAUGAGUGUAAGUAAUGUGUUAGGGUGUGGGGGUUUAUAUAGGAAAUAAGAGGAGGUGGGAAAAUGAGUAGAGUGAUGGAUUUUUGCUUAGUGUCAAAAUUAGGUGAAUUUGUGGGUACGUAGUAUUAAAUAAGGUAUGGUCAAAGUAUGUCGAGUGUUUAUAAUUAUUGGCCACUUGUCUCACUAUACCUCAAUUUUAAUUUAAUGCUUUGAUAUGCUGUUACAUUACAUGUUAAUUGUACUAAGAUUUCAUGAACAUGGUACACGACUAUACACGUAUGAACUCUUAUGGGGAUGGGCAUGACAACGAGGCGGUGCGGAUUUUACUUUACCGUCUUCAAAUUUAAUUGGUAAGUUUUCUAAAAAAAAAUUCAAUCAGUAUUUAUAGAAUAAACUAAGAUUCUAUUAUAGUGAGUAAAUAGUGCAGUUGUAAUGUAAACACUUUAGUGAAUGAAAUCGUUGAAUCUUUUGAUUACCGUAAGGGAUUUAAAAAAAUAAAAAAAUGGUAGAAAUUAAGGUAUUCCUUUAUUUUGUAACUCGAAUAUCUCUUUGUAAGAAACUCAUUGAUAGUUAAUUGGAGUUUCUUUAACCCGACUUUGAUACACUUCACAUCCCGGGAACCUAAGCAAUAUGAGACUUCAAACAAUCUCAAACAACACAACAACACAUUCAACACCCACCCUCACGCCUAGCGUGGUCCUGAGUCAAAUGCCCACAAUGCAGUCUUUAACCCGACUUUGAUACCAUGUUAAAUAUGCUUGGAUCUCAUCUCCAAAAGCUAGCUCAAAUGGUGAGAUUGCUCUCACAUAUUUAUACACUUCACAUCCCGGGAACCUAAGCAAUGUGGGACUUCAAACAAUCUCAAACAACACAACAACACAUUCAACAUCUAUGUGCUCAUCUUCUUUGAUUUAUCUUAUUUUAUUGUUUGUAAUAGUUAUUGGUUACAUUAGUCAUUGGUGUCUACUAAUUUUACUUGACACUUUAUAGUAUUGAUGCGAGUUUCAAUUGAAUUCAAAAUUAUUUUGGGAUGUGGAAGAUAAAGAUGUAGGUAGUCUUAAUUCAAGAUAAGUGUGUAGAACCUAUAAAGGGAAGGGUGAGGUUGUGUUGCCAUUAAAAUGCAGACAAGACAUGAGAUGGUGGACAAGGCCUAGAGUACCAAUGUCCAUGCCUUUGAGAUAAAGUUCUUAGAGAAGUUAUGAAGACCGGAUUUGGAUUCUUUACAUUCAAAAAUCUUAAAUUCACAUACAUUUACUUGUAUUUAGUGUAAAAAUACUAAGAGAGAAUGUAGAGAGAUAGUAUGAUAAGUGGUAAUGAUAAAAUUGAUCUUAAAAAUAAACUAAAUAUAGGUGAAUAUAAGAUUUUUGAAUGUAACUAAUACAACAUCAAGGUAUGGGUUGAAUUCAUCUUCUGAUUUUUGACAACGGCAAAAGUUCAUUUACAUUGUGUGAAUUCAAUUGAACCUAACUAAAAUUGUACUGGUUUGUGGUUCAAUCGAGUUGUAUACCAUUUCAGAAAAAAGAUUGGGAAGUGGGAAUACAAUUUUAGUUAGGUUCAAUUGAAUUCUCUUUGGUUUUGGGAGGGACCAUUAGGCUGAGUUCCAAAGUCAACAAAGAAGUUGCAGUUAAUUUUGAUGCCACUUUUUUUUAGAAUCAACAUGUGAAUGUCAUCCUUUGAUUUUGUAGUAGCACAGUGUUGGUGGUUUCGGUUAGUGUUUUUCUGCGUCUGCUUCAGCUGUUUUCUGCUGGUGUAAUAUGUAGGGAGGGAAUUGAAAUCCGUCACCUAAUUAGCGACGAAAUUUCAAGAACAAAUGUUGCAUUUUUAAUCAAUUGUUUGAGACGGAUUGAUUUACAUUAAGACAUAUUAAUUCAGUAUUUCAGUCGCACUUUGUGAUAGAAUACAAAUUUCCUCACUAAUAUUUUGCGAGGCCUAAUUUGGUUACGAAUUUUGGGCCAUACAUAAUUUGAAUUCAGUAGUGAUGAAUUUCUUCUCUCUAAAUUUAAUUUUCUAGUAGUGUUUCAUUUGUUACGAGUAGAAUAGUGAUUGGCUUGUAAUUUUUUUAUUUUUUUGUGGUUUGCAAUGAAGCNNNNNNNNNUUUUUUUUUUUUUUUUUGAAUGACAAAUUGUUGGUUGUUAGUAACUUAGUAUAUUACAACCUCUAACAUACUAUCAUUAUCAUUUCAUUUCAAAACAAGAUGGAUAUUUAAAAACUGACAUUAAAUAAGAGAAAUCAGAUACAUAGGUAAAAACCCAAUUAAAAUAUUUCAUGUAAUUCAUAAAACAACACAGUAAAAGACUAUAUAUCAAAUAGAGUAUGGUAUACAAGAAGAUAGGGCCACAUAUAACAUGAGCCUCCAUCACUCUCAUUCUUAUUCUUGAUAGCAUUAAAAUGCACUUUCAUAUAUAGUGACAACUUUCCAUAAUCAUGCAUCUGCAAUGUCAUCAUCUUCAAGCCCUGAUGCUGUAUAAAUACAACAAAAUAAUAAGAAAACUAGUCAGUAGAUUAGCAGUGAAAGAAAAAAUAUUUAUGAAAAGUACUAAAAAAUUGUAAAAUUUUACUAGGAAAUAAAACAGAGCAUAUAUUGAUGAAGUAGUCCUUAAUACUCAGGGUAGGGGUCCUUUAAGUAGCAAAUAUGCAUUAGGUAGGGGUCUUUAAGUUUUGCGUUUGUAACAUAAAAACUGUUAGGUUUGUAAGUUUUUCAGGUAACAAAUCGGUCAUUUAAUUUUCUAACUUGUUGUACUGUUAUCCUUCUUCCAGUUAUUCUCCCUUAGUUGCGCCUCAACUGUCUGGAGCUCAUGGUUCACAUCAGAUUGAGCCUCAAAUUAAUCAUGGUUAACAUCAUAAUUAACGGUCAUGUUAGUGUUUUUGUAAACUUAGGAUAACUAGAAGAAUGGAAACGGUGUUACAAGCUAGAAACUUAAAGAUCAUAAUUUGUUACCUGAAAAACCUAAAUGCCUAAUUAUUAAUCUGUUACAAACGUAAAACUUAAAAACCCUGAAUGUAUUUUGGCCUAAUUAUUAUUAUGAGAUUAAAAAAAGAGCAAGUGAAAGCUUAAGACAUACGUAGCACAGUUGGUGGAGGUACUGAUCUUGUAAGGAAUGUUAACACCACAUUUACCAGGAAGAGCACCUGCGUUGUUAGUAUUCAAACCAGAAAUAGCACCGGCAGCAUUUUUCAAGCAGUUGCAAGCAGCCUGACGAUCAGGUGUAGUUGCGGCGGCAGCGUUGAGUCUCUUAACUCCAGCACAACAUGCUGGAGAAGGACCAGGACCACCUUUAAGGUAAGGAAUGCAUUGAGCAAGAGCACCAUUUACAGUUCCACAUGAGAUUCCAGCUUCUGCUAUAGGUGCAAUUACCAUGCACAUCAACAAAACUACACAUGCUACCUUCAUGCUUGCCAUUGUUUUCUUAAAAGAAAAUUAAAUGUGUUUUUGUUUUGGUUUGGAGGUUUUGUUUUCUUGGUUUGUUUGUUUGGUGAGUGUAAUGUGUUAAUGUGUGGGGGUUUAUAUAGGAAAAAGAUAAGGUGUGAACACAAUUUAGAGUGACGGUUUUUGGAAGUGUGGUAGUAGUUGUGCGUUGUAGUAGUAAAUGAUGUAUGGUGCAUGCUCUUUAAUUAUUGGACACUUGUUGAACUAUCAUUAAUUCGAUUUUAAUUUAAUACUACUACUUAGGUUAUUAGGUAUGUUGUUACAUGUUAGAAUUUAUUCAUGAUAAGAGUACACAACUACACGUGUAUGAACUCUCUUGCAUUAGUUGUUCUUGAGAAAGAUCACUUCGUUUUCAAACAUGCCACUCACUAAAUUUUUGGGGUGGGGGAGUUGGGGUGCCGACAUAGUUGGGAUGUUCAUCAUUUUUCUUGAUGUUUAGAUACUCUUAAUUCAAUUAAAAAAAAAACCUGCCACUCACUAAAUUUUGUUUAUAGGCAAUUUUGAUUUUUGACUCAUUAAUGGAAGUUGAAGAUAAUUUUGCAGAUCACUAUAGUCAGAAGAGGAGGUUCAACAAGUAUUUAUCAAUUCAAAGUUCUGCAAUAUACCUCAUUCCAAUUUCAAUUUUCAACAGUUGAAAUUAUAAAAUAAAAAUAAAAAAUUUUCUUUUUGGAUUAUUUUGAUGUUGAUCAAACUGCCACUAAUGUUCUCAAACCGAAAAAUCGUAAUUUCGAUAACCGUAUAUAAUCUAGUUUGGACAAAUUCAAACUAUAUCUUAAAUCGUAAUCAUCAAUGAUCCAUUGGAUUUUAAAAUCAAGGUGGAUGAUGAACGACAUGAUGAACAUAUUGCACAAAUUCCAAAGCGUGUGUAUCACACUAAACUUUAGGUUCGAUUCGCCCCCAUCAUAAACUGCAUGCAAAAGGGUUAACCGGCGAAUCCCCUUCAGGUUACUUUGAAAAUCUUGACAUGGAUUGCAUACACAUAUCAAGCAUAUCGAUUAAUGAUAUUUUACAGAAUAAAGUUCCUUACAAUUCCUCUCGUGCACUAGAGAAAUAAAGAAAUAUUUAGAAAUAUUUUUAGACAGAAUCCUAACUCACGGAAACAUGAUUUCUGUUGUAUGUUUUUUGCCUCCUAAGUGUCUCUAUUUAUAGAGAAACUUAUGUCAAAUGAUGAAGGGACACAACCUUUAAAAGGAUUUCAAAAAUGUAAAUUUGAAUUUCAAAUUAACCAUUGCAAUUUUUCAAAUAUAUUUUCGAAAAUAUCUAACAGUAAAUAGUGCAGUUGUAAACACUUUAGUGAAUGAAAUCGUUGAAUCUUUUAAUUACCGUAAGGGAUUUAAAAAAUAAGGUAUUUCUUUAUUUUGUAACUCGAAUAUCUCUUUGUAAGAAAAUCAUUGAUAGUUAAUUGGAGAGUUUUUUUUUUAUUCCCGGACAUAGGUCAUUAUUGUAUUGAAAAUUGAGUAAACGAAUAUCUAAUGUGCUCAUCUUCUUUGAUUUAUCUUAUUGGCAAAUGCUAAAUAGUGUCCUAGGGGCACUUGCUAAGGAUUUAAAUUUAGAAAGUUUUAUGCAAUAAAAGUUUAUAUUUUGAUGUUUUUCAUGCACAACUUUUAUUUUCUUUCUUCUUUUGGUUCCUUAACUAGUGUCCCGGAGGCAUUGGUUAGCAAGACCCUAUCUUAUUUUAUUGUUUGUAAUAGUUAUUGGUUACAUUAGUUAUUGGUGUCUACUAAUUUUACUUGACACUUUAUAGUAUUGAUGCGAGUUUCAAUUGAAUUCAAAAUAAUUGGUGAGAAAAUUAUUUUGGGAUGUGGAAGAUAAAGAUGUAGGUAGUCUUAAUUCAAGAUAAGUGUGUAGAACCUAUAAAGGGAAGGGUGAGGUUGUGUUGCCAUUAAAAUGCAGACAAGACAUGAGAUGGUGGACAAGGCCUAGAGUACCAAUGUCCAUGCCUUUGAGAUAAAGUUCUUAGAGAAGUUAUCAAAAAUCUUAAAUUCACAUACAUUUAUUUGUAUUUAGUGUAAAAAUACUAAGAGAGAGAAUGCAGAGAGAUAAUAUGGUAAGUGGUAAUGACAAAAUUGAUCUUAAAAAUAAACUAAAUAUAGGUGAAUGUAGGAUUUUUGAACGUAGAGAAUUAAAAAUCCGUGAAGACUAAUACAACAUCAAGGUAUGGGUUGAAUUCAUCUUCUGAUUUUUGACAACGGCAAAAGUUCAUUUACAUUGUGUGAGGUAUAUUAUUAAACUUAAGUAAAAUUUGUUAUCAAUAAGCAUGUUUGAUGAUUUAAGCUAUGAAACUAAAAUUUUAACUUGGGAUAGUAAAGAUUUAAUGUGAUGCAUAGAUAAUAGGUAGAUGUACCUAUUAUUGGUAAUGCAUUUGUUGUUAGGAAGGAUGAUAAGAGGCUCCGUCGAUAUGCUGAGCGUUGAAUAAAUAACUGCGAGGAUGUUGUUACUUAGGGCUAGGGCUGCUCAUCACAGCAGCAUUCGGCUGGCUGAGAUUGUUUCUACUCUUUACGAGAGAGAAGAACAAGAUGGGGAUGCUAUGGCAGAGAGAAGAAGAAUACUUAACGAGAAAUUGCUUCGGAGAGUGCAAGAGGAAGCAUUUCCUUGGGACGAGGAAGAGGAGGAGAAAUCUGAGUAUGAGACUGAGACUGAUUCUGAUGAGGAAUAUACCGGAGGAGUUAUGGCGAAGCCGGUAUUUGUUUUGAAGUUCGAGAUGUUAAGAAGUCUCACAUCGGUUGUGUGAUGGCAAUGACAAAGUGGCAAUUCUCACCUUAAAAGCCGGUUUUGUAAUUAAGGAUGAGUUAGACCCAAUAUCCAUUUCUAAGAUGGUAUCAGAGCCUCUCCCCGAUCCGUUGGGCCACCUGUUAUCAGGUUUCUGCUAUCGGGCCACCCACCGUUUAUAUCCACGCACCAAGCCCAAUAGUGCUUUGCGUGAGGGGAUGUGUUAAGAAGUCCUACAUCGGUUGUGAGAUGGCUUUGACAAAGUGGCAAUCCUCACCUUAAAAGACGGUUUUGUAAGGAUGAGUUAGGCCCAAUAUCCAUUUCUAAGACGAGAGAGAUACUAUUGCUGAGCAUGAUCGUCUUGAGGCUGGAGAGGAGGCUCUCGAGGAAAAACGGAAAAAGAGAUUGGAGGAAAGAAGAAUUGAAACAAAGCAGAUUGUUGUUGAAUUGAUUCAGAAGAAUAUUGAAUUAGGGGGAAAUAAUAUUGCUGAUACGAACAUUGUCACCGAUGAUGAAAUCAAUGAGGCAGAAGAAUAUGAAGCUUGGAAAGGGAGAGAGAUCAGCAAGAUCAAGAGGAAUAGGGAAGGUCGGGAUGCCCUGUUGAACGAAAAAUAAGAGGUUAAGAGGGUGAGGAACAUGACGGACGAGGAAAGGAGAGAAUGGAAAAGGGAGAAUCCAAAACCUUCUCGACCAUCAAAGAAGAAGAAAAGGAUAUUUAUGCAGAAAUACUUUCAUAAGGGUGCUUUCUUCCAGUCUAGUACAGAUGACCGAGCUUCCAACGAUGGAACUGAUAAUAUUUUUGCGCGCGAUUUCUCUGCCCCAACUAGGGAAGAUAAAAUGGACAAGACAAUGUUGCCUAAGGACCAUUAUCUUAACUUACCAAUCAAACUACCUACACAGGACCAUUAUCUUGUGACUUGGCUAUAAUUUAUUUCCAUUUGUUUAUGACAUCCAACUUUCACAAAAGCUUUCUGCUUUAUUUUGAGUACUUAUUGCCAUGCAACCAUGACAUACCUACUUACACAAGUUUAUAACUAUGAUAGCAUUAAUUAUUCAUUGUGGCCUAACACAAGUGCCAUGAGUCCAUAACUAUUAGAUCCAUAUAUUUGAAGUGCAGUCUCCACCAAGAUAUUCAUCUAAUGUGAGGGAGGGACCAUUAGGCUCAGUUCCAAAGUCAAAUAAGAAGUUGCAGUUAAUUUUGAUGCCACUUUUUUUAGAAUCAACAUGUGUGAAUGUCAUCCUUUGAUUUUGUAGUAGCACAUAAUUUUCAAUUUGGAUCCUCAGCUGCAGCUUGUCUGCUGCUAAUCCUGCUGCAUAAUCCUACCCCUUUAUUUAAUUAUUCAUACUGAUCCAUAUUAAUACAUAUCAAGAGUAUCCACAGGUAAUUAUAAGAGAAUCAAGCAUAUUAAUUCCAUUCCAUAUAAUACUAUCAUUCCAUAUUAAUCAUUCCAUACUAUUUUUGACGAAUUCCAAAAGAAUCACACGCUGCUUUCUUUGUUUGUUUGUUCUGUUCCUGCAAAGUCUUCCCUGCUAUACUAAAGCUUUCAUACCUCAAAUUGAAACUAAUUCAUCAUGCUUUUUUUUCAACAUCCUCUGGUUUCUACGACAUUUUCGUUUUGAUUAUCACAAUAUUAAUGGUGAAUAAUGUGCAGUGGUGUCUUUGAUUUUAUUUUUAAAAAAACUCAUUCUGGAAACCAAUGUGGUUAAAAUUCAGUGGUUUAUGUUUUGUCGUUUUGAUAGCCAGGAUAGUCAGUAAAAGCCUGAUGAAUCCAACAUUGAAUUUAUUGCCUCGUGCAGAAUGUGUACCUAAGCAUUUCUUCAAUCUUUUUUGAUAGUUUGCUUGUUCAUGUUUGCUUUUUAGUUUUUGGUUCUUGAGAAAUUAGCUCAGUACAACUGUGAGUACUUGUUGGCGCACUUUUAUAACCUCAUGAUCGAUGAUUAUUUGGUGAAGCCCUAAUUGUAAAGUACUAACUAUAUUAAUAUGUGCAUUGUAAAAUAAACAUUUUGAACACAUUGGUAAGACGACGUUACUUAGCACAAGUGAAUUUAGCAAUCAAUCAUUGUUAACAUACUUUAAUAAAAGACCUAUUGAAAAUAGGAGCUCUCGUCGUCAAUACAUGAGCUAACCUUUCAGAGUAAUCUAUGGAUCAGAUCAAUAUAAAAGUUGGUGAUAUAACUGACCUAGAUUAUUAUUCCACUGCAAGAAAAUUCAACUAAAACAUCUUCCAAAAUGAUUUAUGUUGCAAAGAUCCAUCUCGUUAUGAUCAACCUUUCUCAAAAAAAAAAUUUGUAUAGAAGUGAAUUGAUAAGCCAAGAGUAGUUUUUAUGCAGAUAAUUCAUAUAGAAGUGAACAGAACAAAGAGACAAAGAGACUUUGCAGGAACAGAAUAAACAAACAAACAAAGCAGUGUGUGGUUCUUUUGGAAUUAGUCAAAAAUAGUAUGGAAUGAUUAAUAUGGAAUGAUAGAUGAUGACAAAUCGUCACACUCUCUAAUCCAUGCCUAUUUUAGCAACAUUAGAUACAUUUUAGUAGGUUUUUAGCAAUAAAUAUAAGAGAAAUCUAACCAUUAGCUUGAUUACUUGUUUUGCAAGAAAACANNNNNNNNNNNNNNNNNNNNNNNNNNNNNNNNNNNNNNNNNNNNNNNNNNNNNNNNNNNNNNNNNNNNNNNNNNNNNNNNNNNNNNNNNNNNNNNNNNNNNNNNNNNNNNNNNNNNNNNNNNNNNNNNNNNNNNNNNNNNNNNNNNNNNNNNNNNNNNNNNNNNNNNNNNNNNNNNNNNNNNNNNNNNNNNNNNNNNNNNNNNNNNNNNNNNNNNNNNNNNNNNNNNNNNNNNNNNNNNNNNNNNNNNNNNNNNNNNNNNNNNNNNNNNNNNNNNNNNNNNNNNNNNNNNNNNNNNNNNNNNNNNNNNNNNNNNNNNNNNNNNNNNNNNNNNNNNNNNNNNNNNNNNNNNNNNNNNNNNNNNNNNNNNNNNNNNNNNNNNNNNNNNNNNNNNNNNNNNNNNNNNNNNNNNNNNNNNNNNNNNNNNNNNNNNNNNNNNNNNNNNNNNNNNNNNNNNNNNNNNNNNNNNNNNNNNNNNNNNNNNNNNNNNNNNNNNNNNNNNNNNNNNNNNNNNAUUGUGUAAGAUCAUACUCUCUUUAUAGUGUUCAUUCAAUUCAAGUCUGUUUCUAAUGCUUUAUAAUCCUUCAUUAGUGUUAUAAUGAUUUUGAGUUAAGUCACGUGCGAGAGUAUUGAUUUAAUGUCUGAUCUGAAUUGUAUUGAGCACUCGAGUGUCUCCGGUCGAGAGAUUGAGGCAUAGAGUGUAGCGAACGAUUGACGCGCGUUAAUCUCAUUCGUUGUAGGUAGCUUCCGCCCGAGAGAUCGGGGGAGUAUCGACAACGAAUAGAGUGGAUUUUGACAAGAGAUUGCGAUUCACUAAUUUGUCGAUCUAGUUGUGAACACUUGAGUAGAUCUUAUGACAUUGUAGGUUGCAUGCGGUUAGCUAUAGACUAGGCGAUUCCAAUGAUUCUACCUCGCUUUUCCAUUAUAUCAAAGCAUAUCUUCUAGCAAUUCAUUACUCAACAUGCCCCCAAUUUAUGUGUAUUUUCUGUAUAAUGUCUAUGAACACCGUUCGACUAGUUUGAUCACACAAUCCCUGUGGAUCGAUAUUUUAUUACUACGUGAUUUUCGUGCACUUGCGAAAUUUUUCAUCAAUAGAAUUAUAUGGAAUGAAAUUAAUGUGCUUGAUUAUCUUAUUACCUGUGGAUACUCUUGAUAUGUAUUAAUAUAGAUCAGUGUGAAUGACUAAAUAAAGGGCUAGGAUUAUGCAGCAGAGAGGCUGCAGCUGAGGAUCCAAAUCGCAUAAUUUUGCCGAAAACGAUAUUGUAUUUGCUAGAGAUACAAAGGAGUUUGUCGCUAAUCGCUAUAAUGUUCGUCAUAUUAGUAACUAUUUUUUAUGAUGUUGUAGCUGUUUCUCUGCUAUCGGUUUUUUGGUGUGUUUUGGAGGUUGUAUUUUUGUUUUUCUGAAAUAGCAUUCCAUCGGCUACGACUUGCCAAAACCGAAUGAAAAUACUUUGAGUUUGCAUCACCUUCCUUGAGCCACAGCGAGCGAGAUUAUUGCCAGCUAAUGCUAGCGUGCAAACGUGACAGCGAAUGGAGAUCCGCAGUGACCCCAUGAAGCUCUGCUAACUCUUCUCCAGAUAAGUCCACCUCCUCCCCCCUAUGGUCAAGCAACGACAACCGGUCUUUCAAAGUUUCAAUACGACUAGGCACGUUCUGAACAUGCAUCUUAUGCCAAUCUUUUAGAGCCGUCUUCAUCAUCUUAAGCUUUUCCUUUAGCACAUACCCUCCCCAACCCUCAACCUGAAAUGUAUUCCACUUCUCUCUCACAAACAGAUUAUAACCAAGAACAUCUUUCCAACACUUAAGCAUCCUUGAAGUACGGGGACCCCAAUCUUUAUCAUUUGUAGAGAGAACCAAAGGGCAAUGAUCAAACAACCCUCGCAUCUUAGCCUCUUGUUUACAAUUAGGCCAAGUCAAACACCACUCCUCAGAGAGCAGGAACAUGUCCAACCGACUCAUUGAUAGACCAUCCCCUCUAUACCAAGUAAACUUACGCCCAAUCAAUGGAAGGUCAAUGAAGUUGUUAUUAUCAAUAAAAUGACUAAAAGGAAUGUGGUCCGAACUUCAUUGACUCCCCCUGGAGGAGUGACGUUCCUCCACUAAUUUAACAGCAUUAAAAUCCCCACAAACGCACACAGUCGUGAUGAAUUUUUUCUCUGUAAAUUUAAUUUUCUAUUGCGUCCAAAAAAAAAUAAAAAAUUCUAGUAGUGUUUCAUUUGUUACGAGUGGAAUAGUGAUUGGCUUGUAAUUUUUUUAUUUUUUUUUGGUUUGCAAUGAAGUUGAGAUCAAAUUAUGACCUUUUUUUUUUUUUGAAUGACAAAUUGUUAGUUCUUAAUACAUUACGACCUCUAACAUACUAUCAUUAGCUUGUAAUUCAUUUCAAAACAGGAUGGAUAUUUAAAAACUGACAUUAAAUAAGAGAAAUCAGACACAUAGGUAAAAACCCAAUUAAAAUAUUUCACUAUGUAAUUCAUAAAACAACACAGUAGAAGACUAUAUCAAAUAGAGUAUGGUAUACAAGAAGAUAGGGCCACAUAUAACAUGAGCCUCCAUCACUCUCAUUCUUAUUCUUAAUAGCAUUAAAAUGCACUUUCAUAUAUAGUGACAACUUUCCAUAAUUAUGCAUCUGCAAUGUCAUCAUCUUCAAGCCCUGAUGCUGUAUAAAUACAACAAAAUAAUAAGAAAACUAGUCAGUAGAUUACAGUGAAAGAAAAAAUAUUUAUGAAAAGUACUAAAAACUGUUAGGUUUGUAAGUUUUUCAGGUAACAAAUCGGUUGUUUAAUUUUCUAACUUGUUGUACUGUUAUCCUUCUUCCAGUUAUUCUCCCUUAGUUGAGCCUCAGAUUGAGCCUCAAAUUAAUCAUGGUUAACGUCAUAAUUAACGAUCAUGUUAGUGUUUUUGUAAACUUAAGGAUAACUGGAAGAAUGAAAACGGUGUUACAAGCUAGAAACUUAAAGAUCUUAUUUGUUCCCUGAAAAACUUAACUGCCUAAUUAUUAAUCUAGUACAAAUGUAAAACUUAAAAACCCUGAAUGUAUUUUGGCCUAAUUAUUAUUAUGAGUUUAAAAAAAGAGCAAGUGAAAGCUUAAGACAUACGUAGCACAGUUGGUGGACGUACUGAUCUUGUAAGGAAUGUUAACACCACAUUUACCAGGAAGAGCACCUGCGUUGUUAGUAUUCAAACCAGAAAUAGCACCGGCAGCAUUUUUCAAGCAGUUGCAAGCAGCCUGACGAUCAGGUGUUGUUGCGGCGGCAGCAUUGAGUCNNNNNNNNNNUAUAGGUGCAAUUACCAAGCACAUCAACAAAACUACACAUGCUACCUUCAUGCUUGCCAUUGUUUUCUUAAAAGAAAAUUAAAUGUGUUUUUGUUUUGGUUUGGAGGUUUUGUUUUCUUGGUUUGUUUGUUUGGUGAGUGUAAUGUGUGGGGGUUUAUAUAGAAAAAAG